rnacentral:rRNA from 1 species
GUGAGGAAUAUUGGUCAAUGGGCGGAAGCCUGAACCAGCCAAGUAGCGUGCAGGACGACGGCCCUAUGGGUUGUAAACUGCUUUUAUACGGGGAUAAAGUGCGCCACGUGUGGAGCAUUGCAGGUACCGUAUGAAUAAGGACCGGCUAAUUCCGUGCCAGCAGCCGCGGUAAUACGGAAGGUCCGGGCGUUAUCCGGAUUUAUUGGGUUUAAAGGGAGCGCAGGCCGGAAGCAAAGCGUGCCGUGAAAUGUAGAUGCUCAACAUCUGAAUUGCGGCGCGAACUGGUUUUCUUGAGUGCAUACGAGGUAGGCGGAAUUUGUGGUGUAGCGGUGAAAUGCUUAGAUAUCACGAAGAACUCCGAUUGCGAAGGCAGCCUACCAGGAUGUAACUGACGCUAAAGCUCGAAAGUGCGGGUAUCGAACAGGAUUAGAAACCCCUGUAGUCC